rfam:Hordeum vulgare subsp. vulgare, WGS project CAJW01000000 data, contig: morex_contig_411960
CCACAGGUUUUUUUGAAAACUAUAUAUUUUUGAAUUCAAAUAUAAG